UUUUACUGGAGGAAGGUGGGGAUGACGUCAAAUCAUCAUGCCCCUUAUGACCUGGGCUACACACGUGCUACAAUGGACAGAACAAAGGGCAGCGAAACCGCGAGGUUAAGCCAAUCCCACAAAUCUGUUCUCAGUUCGGAUCGCAGUCUGCAACUCGACUGCGUGAAGCUGGAAUCGCUAGUAAUCGCGGAUCAGCAUGCCGCGGUGAAUACGUUCCCGGGCCUUGUACACACCGCCCGUCACACCACGAGAGUUUGUAACACCCGAAGUCGGUGAGGUAACCUUUUAGGAGCCAGCCGCCGAAGGUGGGACAGAUGAUUGGGGUGAAGUCGAAGCAAGU
rnacentral:rRNA from 1 species